rnacentral:rRNA from 6 species
AAAUUGAAGAGUUUGAUCAUGGCUCAGAUUGAACGCUGGCGGCAGGCCUAACACAUGCAAGUCGAACGGUAACAGGAAGCAGCUUGCUGCUUUGCUGACGAGUGGCGGACGGGUGAGUAAUGUCUGGGAAACUGCCUGAUGGAGGGGGAUAACUACUGGAAACGGUGGCUAAUACCGCAUAACGUCGCAAGACCAAAGAGGGGGACCUUCGGGCCUCUUGCCAUCAGAUGUGCCCAGAUGGGAUUAGCUUGUUGGUGAGGUAACGGCUCACCAAGGCGACGAUCCCUAGCUGGUCUGAGAGGAUGACCAGCCACACUGGAACUGAGACACGGUCCAGACUCCUACGGGAGGCAGCAGUGGGGAAUAUUGCACAAUGGGCGCAAGCCUGAUGCAGCCAUGCCGCGUGUAUGAAGAAGGCCUUCGGGUUGUAAAGUACUUUCAGCGGGGAGGAAGGUGUUGUGGUUAAUAACCGCAGCAAUUGACGUUACCCGCAGAAGAAGCACCGGCUAACUCCGUGCCAGCAGCCGCGGUAAUACGGAGGGUGCAAGCGUUAAUCGGAAUUACUGGGCGUAAAGCGCACGCAGGCGGUCUGUCAAGUCGGAUGUGAAAUCCCCGGGCUCAACCUGGGAACUGCAUUCGAAACUGGCAGGC